UUAUGAUGCAUAUACACACCAAGAGAGCAGCCCGAUCGGAGUUGUGUUUCCUUUUCUUUCCUUUCCUUGUUAUACUUUUUCCUUUCCUUUCCGUGUCAUAUUAUAAAUUAUGACGAGAUUGAUGUAGACACGAGAGGAACUACCUCCACCAACGGUGCACUGCAUCUUCUAAACACGGAUAUAUUUUAAAAUCACCUCCACAACAUCCAUUGUGCGAUGAUGAGCCACCUUGCAACACCAUAGAGAGACCUAGAGAUAGCCGUACCACUACACAAGUUCACCGUUUCAGUUACCCCAUCGACCCAUGUGAGGUUCCCGUGGUGGAAGGAGAGAGGAUGUCCGAGCAGAGGAGGGGGUGUGCGCCCAUCGCUAGCAACUCUGUGAAGGAGAGGAGUAUUUGUUGCUAAUGCUCUAUGGGUCACGACCAGAUUGAUGUAGGUUCAGUCAUCUCCGACGCCAAUCUGCCCUAUCAUCUAGGACAAGGAGGAUUUAGAAGGAUGUGGAGGACAAAGCUUGAGAUUGUGGAGACUAGAGAUUGAGAUGGAUUGAUCCUCAAUCUUGAAUAGUUUUCACUGGUCACGUUCGUCAUGUGUAGUGUUACCAUGCUAUGUUAAUUAACCUGAGAUGGAUAACUAGUGUAACAUCCCAAAUUUCCUAUUUGGAAUGUUUUACAAUUGUAGCUAAGCAUCUAUGCAUUUUUGUUUGAA